GGAGGGGUGUCGCUCAAGCGGCGCCCCUCCGCUUCUCCCACCAUAUCGACCCGUACGCGGACGGCUAGCCGCGGGGACGUCCGAUCAGGACAAUCUUGAAAACCGUCGUGGCAGCGAUGCCACCGUGGGUUCAAAUCCCACCGCCUCCG
rnacentral:tRNA from 1 species